CGCGGCAACCUUGGAUCAACGCCCCGCUGCUCCGGCCGGCCCACUCUUUCCUUGCAAGCUGCGGCUUCCUCGCGGAAACAUUAACGGGUCUGGGGAAGGGCGCGGGGCCGAGAAUCAGAGAGUGGGACCCGAGAUCUCCCCGCGCCCAGUGGGCAACCAUGACCGACGAGAGCUCCGAUGUCCCCCGGGAGUUAAUGGGUAAGCUUGGCGCGGUGGCCGACUGGCCAUCUUCCUCUGCGCACACCUCCUUUCCGCCUCCCUUCCCACCCUGUCCUCCCGCAGUCUCCGCGCUCUCCUGCGCCAAGUGGCGUGGGACAGGGUCGCCAGGGGUUGGGGAUGGCUCCUAGAAGUUU
rnacentral:lncRNA from 1 species